AUUACCUGCAUUAGCAUUCGUUGCUCUGUUUCCUUACUGUAGGGCUUAGGCAGGAUUUGUUUCUGUACAGGGCACCUAGCUUUGGAUAAUGUGAAGGCCAAUAGAUUGGGAUUCACAUACCUAGAUAUUUGAAAGAACAAACUGUGUCCGUGUGCUAUUUGAAAUUGAUUUGAUACAUAGUUAGCAAUUUUGUAAUUUAGGUACUGUUCCAAAAAUCAUUGGGGCAGUUUUCUCAGCGUUUAGGGAAAGUUUGUUAUCCUUGAUCCACUUUGCUACCUCUGUGAACUGGUCUUGAAGUUUUCACAACUGCCAAGUCAGCUGCAAAUAAUUUAUGUAUAUGGUCAGUUAAUGUCCCAUCCUGUGGCCAGGUUAUAAUCCUGUAGUGCUGUUGAUACCUCCUCUACAGGUUUUGGUAAAGUAGGGUCUUCCUUGUAUGGACUUCAUAGCAUCACCCUCCGCUAGUGAUUCGCAGGUCUCAGAGUUCCAUGGGAGCACUGUCAUUCGACAAGGUAUGUCUUGAAACAUCAG